rnacentral:tRNA from 1 species
GGUCCCAUCGUCUAGUGGUUAGGACGCCGGCCUCUCACGCCAGUAACGCGGGUUCGACCCCCGCUGGGACCACCA